UACAGAGACUGCAAGCGUUAUUCGGAUUCACUGGGCGUAAAGCGUGCGCAGGCGGUUUUGUAAGCCAGAUGUGAAAUCCCCGGGCUCAACCUGGGAAUGGCAUUUGGGACUGCAAGGCUGGAGUGCGGCAGAGGAGACUGGAAUUCCUGGUGUAGCAGUGAAAUGCGUAGAGAUGUGGAGGAACACCGAUGGCGAAGGCAGCCCCCUGGGCUAACACUGACGCCUCGAGGCACGAAAGCGUGGGGAGCAAACAGG
rnacentral:rRNA from 1 species